rnacentral:rRNA from 1 species
UGAGGAAUAUUGGUCAAUGGGCGAGAGCCUGAACCAGCCAAAUCGCGUGAAGGAAGACUGCCUUAUGGGUUGUAAACUUCUUUUAUACAGGAAUAAAAAAGGGGACGUGUCCCUUAUUGCAUGUACUGUAUGAAUAGCAUCGGCUAACUCCGUGCCAGCAGCCGCGGUAAUACGGAGGAUGCGAGCGUUAUCCGGAUUUAUUGGGUUUAAAGGGUGCGCAGGCGGGCUUUUAAGUCAGCGGUGAAAUCUCGGGGCUUAACUCCGAAACUGCCGUUGAAACUGGGAGUCUUGAGUAUGGAUGAAGUAGGCGGAAUUCGUUGUGUAGCGGUGACAUGCUUAGAUAUAACGAGGAACUCCGAUUGCGUAGGCAGCUUACUAAGCCAUAACUGACGCUCAAGCACGAAAGCGUGGGGAUCAAACAGGAUUAGAUACCCUGGUAGUCCACGCCGUAAACGAUGAUUACUAGUUGUAUGCGAUAUACCGUAUGUGACUAAGCGAAAGCGAUAAGUAAUCCACCUGGGGAGUACGCCGGCAACGGUGAAACUCAAAGGAAUUGACGGGGUCAUAGCUGUUUCCUG